CAUCACAGCACGAUUCGGCUC
rnacentral:miRNA from 1 species